UCCCUUGGGGCUCAGUUGGUAAAGCACGGCGCUUCCAACACCAGGAUUGUGGGUUCGAUUCCCACAGGGGAC
rnacentral:tRNA from 1 species